rnacentral:tRNA from 1 species
GGGCCGUUAGCUCAGUCGGUAGAGCAGUUGGACUUUUAAUCAAUUGGUCGCUGGUUCGAAUCCAGCACGCCCA